rnacentral:rRNA from 1 species
UACGUAGGGUGCAAGCGUUGUCCGGAAUUAUUGGGCGUAAAGAGCUCGUAGGCGGUUUGUUGCGUCGGCUGUGAAAACCUGAGGCUCAACCUCGGGUCUGCAGUCGAUACGGGCAAACUAGAGUAUUGCAGGGGAGACUGGAAUUCCUGGUGUAGCGGUGAAAUGCGCAGAUAUCAGGAGGAACACCGGUGGCGAAGGCGGGUCUCUGGGCAAUAACUGACGCUGAGGAGCGAAAGCGUGGGGAGCGAACAGG